rnacentral:rRNA from 1 species
UGCGUAGGCGGCUUGGCAAGUCGGAUGUGAAAUACUCUUGCUUAACGAGAGGGGUGCAUACGAAACUGCCGGGCUUGAGUGUAGGAGAGGGAAGCGGAAUUCCUAGUGUAGCGGUGAAAUGCAUAGAUAUUAGGAGGAACACCAGUGGCGAAGGCGGCUUUCUGGACUACAACUGACGCUGAGGCACGAAAGCGUGGGGAGCAAACAG